GGGGAGAUUUGUGGACAUAUGCAUCAUGCUGAGAGCUCUUUCUCAUAUAUUACUUCUAUUUAGUGAGGUAACCGGAGCUGAAUACAUGUAAUCAGAACACUACGACACAAGGUGUUACGGCUCAGACUCCUGCCAACGACGCCCAUCCGUCUGUGCUCCACGGGCUUUUCCUCUCCGCUGCGGGCGCACCUCCGCACGGCUGCAGGAGUUCUGUAAUCAGCGCACCUGCCUGGGAUGAACGAAGUGCCUUCAUAAGCUCGCACAACCUGCCAUGCGGCGCCGGAGUAUAGUCUUCUGUUGGUACAUACCCUCCGUCGCCUGGAAAGUGAGCUGUGCGUCUCACUUUUCCUCGGAUCUCCCUCUGGACUCUGUCUGCCUCCCUCGAUCCUUGACUUCCCUGGCUUUGGACUCGAACCUGUAGACUUCUCUCUCCCCUGGACUUCCUCGUAUCUCAUUCAACAUUUACGGUAACACUCAACAGCUAAUCUACAACACAGCCUUACAUCAUACACACUCUUAGAUUUUGUCACACUUCAUUUCCUUAGUUAGUAUA